rnacentral:rRNA from 1 species
UACGAAGGGGGCUAGCGUUGCUCGGAAUCACUGGGCGUAAAGCGCACGUAGGCGGACUCUUAAGUCGGUGGUGAAAUCCUGGAGCUCAACUCCAGAACUGCCUUCGAUACUGCGGUGCUUGAGGACUGGAGAGGAGACUGGAAUUCAUGGUGUAGCAGUGAAAUGCGUAGAGAUCAUGAGGAAGACCAGUGGCGAAGGCGGGUCUCUGGACAGUUCCUGACACUGAGGCACGAAGGCCAGGGGAGCAAACGGG